GACGAACGCUGGCGGCGUGCUUAACACAUGCGAGUCGAACGGUAAGGCCCUUCGGGGUACACGAGUGGCGAACGGGUGAGUAACACGUGGGUAAUCUGCCCUGCACUUCGGGAUAAGCCUGGGAAACUGGGUCUAAUACCGGAUAUUCAGUUCCUGCCGCAUGGUGGGGGUUGGAAAGUUUUUCGGUGCAGGAUGAGCCCGCGGCCUAUCAGCUUGUUGGUGGGGUAAUGGCCUACCAAGGCGACGACGGGUAGCCGGCCUGAGAGGGUGAUCGGCCACACUGGGACUGAGACACGGCCCAGACUCCUACGGGAGGCAGCAGUGGGGAAUAUUGCACAAUGGGCGAAAGCCUGAUGCAGCGACGCCGCGUGAGGGAUGACGGUCUUCGGAUUGUAAACCCCUUUCAGUAGGGACGAAGCGCAAGUGACGGUACCUGCAGAAGAAGCACCGGCCAACUACGUG
rnacentral:rRNA from 1 species